ACUCAGCGUCGAGCUGAUGCAGCCAUGCCGCGUGUGUGAAGAAGGCCUUCGGAUUGUAAAGCACUUUCAGUAGGGAGGAAAGGGUGUAGUUUAAUACGCUAUAUCUGUGACGUUACCUACAGAAGAAGGACCGGCUAACUCCGUGCCAGCAGCCGCGGUAAUAA
rnacentral:rRNA from 1 species